UACAGAGGGUGCGAGCGUUGUCCGGAAUCACUGGGCGUAAAGGGCGCGUAGGUGGCGACCCAAGUCGAUGGUGAAAGCUCGCCGCUCAACGGCGAGUCGGCCACUGAUACUGGGUUGCUGGAGCACUGUAGAGGCAGAGGGAAUUCCUGGUGUAGCGGUGAAAUGCGUAGAGAUCAGGAAGAACAUCGGUGGCGAAGGCGCUCUGCUGGACCAUAACUGACACUCAGGGACGAAAGCUAGGGGAGCGAAUGGG
rnacentral:rRNA from 1 species